GAAGAGAGACCAAACCCCGAAAAAAAAAAAACCCAUUUCAAACUGUGUAUUCAAACCGUCUCUCUCUCUCUCUCUCUCUCUCUCUCAGCUCUGUUUCUCUUCCCUGCAAUCCACCCAAAACCAACAAUCUCUCUCUCUCGCGUUCAUGCUCUCUCUCCACACCGAGCCACCAAUCUCACGCUAUCUCGCCACACCCACCCACCCACCGGCCCACCAAUCUCACUGAAUCUCAUUCCGUCUCUCUUUGGGUUCGUAGGUAUGGAGCAGGAUUGGUUGGAGGAUGCUGUGCGCCUAUCUCGCCGGGAAUCAAAGGGGAAACCCCUUACCGAAUUUACCGGGUUUGAAAUGAUGCAUAGUUGCUUUCAGUGCAAUGAAGCUUCAACGAUCAGAGUAGAGAGGGGCUUCAUCGUAAGCCGAUGCCUAGUACCUUAAAUUUCGGGUUCGCUCUUAAAUGCAUAGUGGCUUUUAGUGCAAUGAAGCGUCGAUGAUUGGAGCAGAGAGGGGCUUCAUCGUAAGCCGAUGCCCAGUGCCUUAAAUUUCAGUGGCUUUCAGUGCAAUUGCGUCGAUGAUUAGAGCCGAGAGGGGCUUCAUCGUAAGCCGAUGUCCAGUGCCUUAAAUUUCAGAUGCAUAGUGGCUUUCAGUGCAAUGAAGCGUCGAUGAUUAGAGCAGAGAGGGGCUUCAUCGUAAGCCGAUGCCCAAUGCCUCAAAUUUCAGGUUCGCUUUUAAGUGCAUCUCUUCCCUGUUCUAAUGUUUUACUAAUUUUAUGAUUGAUCAAUGCAAUUUGUCUUUUUUGGGACGUGGGUCGAUCCUGUGUAUUUUAGACUUGGGCUAUAUAGUUGUAUCACUGUAUCAUUUCAUGGUCCUAUUUGCCAAGUUGUAGGGUUUUAGGUCUGUUGGGCAUCGCCUGUACAAAAGAAUGAGAAUGAGAAUGAGAAUUCGUCGGGUUUCUUUGUCCACCAAACUCACCCUCUGUUUUAGGUUUCUAAUUUCUAAUGGUAGAAUCAGAGGUUUGAAUUUCAUAGUGGGAUAAUAGGAAAAACAUAUAUCCUUUCAUUGGGAAGUUUCGUUGGUAGGGAGAUGUUUCGUUGAUGAGAAAUUGUGGAAUGCUUAGCUAUAACUGUAAGUCCUAGAUAAUUUCGACUAUAGAUACCUCUUAAUAAGCUACUAAGUCUCCUUUUGCUGUAAAAUAAAAAGUACCCCAAAUUUAGAUUUGGUUUUAUUGGUUCAUAUUUUCAUUUAAUGCAGUCUAAAUGGGGAGUUUUCAAAUUUAGAUUUUUUUUUUCUCUUUCUCCCAAUUAUUUUUCCCUUUUACUGUAAAAUAAAAAAUACCUCAAAGCCAAAUUUGAUUUCAUUAGGGAUAACCCGUGCUUAAAUGCACAAAACAAUGCAUUCUAAUUGGGUUGUGCUGGUUAUGAUAUUUUUGAGCUUUCUGUGCUCAAUUCGACCGUCGCUGAUGAAUCUCCUGUCGAAGUUUGAGGAUUUCUUUUCUAUUGAAGGAACCUUUUUUUUUUUUUACUAGUACUAUAUUUCUCAUAGUAGUAACAUAGUACGAACUUUUAGCUGGCAAGCCAACAUUGCCACUUGGAUACUUAGACAAUUAAGGUGCAGCCUGGUGCAGUUUAACCCAAGUUUUUUUUUCUGGCCGUUAUCUCAUUGAUUGGUAAGUAUGUAGGAAUUUUGCUUCUACAUGGUCCUUCCAUGCCCUUAUGCGCACGAGUAAUUUUGAGUUGAAUAACACCUGAAUUCAUAUAGAUAUCUUUUUGAAUGGACACGUGAUGCGAUGCGGGGCACAGGUGAUGCGUGUGCAAAUUUGCCCAAAUGCUUCCUAUUUAUUUGCAUGUGGCCUAGGCCGGGGCACACGCACGGUGCGUGUGCAAAUUUGCAUAAAUGCUUCCCACUUAUUCGCUUGUGGCUUGGCCAACAUUUUAGUUCUCAUUUUGAACUCAGGGAAAAAAAAGGCUAAAUUGCACUAACAAUAUUAGUAUGUAUUAAUUUUCCAAAUUGUAGUAAUUUUUCUCUCUCUUGGAAAAUACCAAGAGGGGGACAUGUGAUUGGUGCCCUAACAAUCAUAUCAAAGUUAUAAAAAAAAUUACAUGGAAACUGGAAUUAAAAUUUUCAAAUGUGAAACGGAUUAGAUAACUUGCCUUGGUUAGAAUGAGGGGGAGUAAAGCAUCUAUUUUUUCUCUUAUGAAGUGGGUUUCUGGCAGCCAUGAAGUUUUCCGAAUGGGGAAUUGCUGUACUAUUCCAAAGUGCUGAGUUGAUGUGCCAAUUUCUACAUUCAUUAGGUACAGGCAUGCUCUGCAAAUAGGGGAAGCGGUUUUCCUUUGGAGAUCAGAGGUUAACGUGGUUUAAGAGAGAGAGAGAAGGAGUGGUUACCAAAUGUGUGAAUGGGUUUUCCAUGUUUCCCCCUUGCAAUUAUAUGGAGGGAACACAUCUGUGGGGAUGUUUUGGAAUUAGAUGUCUCAUGUUCCCGCCAUGUCCCUCAUGAUAGUAAUUUGGGCAUUUUUACUAAGUUAUUGAUUGAGGUUAUUUUAUUUAAGAGAAAUUGUGAACUGCAUAGCUCUACAUCAAUUUAGUAUAGAAACAUUCUAACUAUUUGUCCAGGAACAUCCUGACUGUAGAAACCUCUUAAGCAACUAUUAAGCCUCUAUUCAAUCCCCAAGCUAUGGACAAUAUCUUCAGAAACGUCAGUGUUGUGCUUCGAGAGGAACGUGAUAUGAAUAUGAUCCGCUUUCUUAGGGUAAGCACAUCCUAUUUUUCAUGAAAGGGACGAAAAAAUCCUCUCUCACGUUUUUUUUACUUACUAGGACAAAGAAAUGGAAUAUACAAAGUCCAAGGGAAAAGAGAGAGUCAUCUAUGCAAAUAAGAGAAAAUAUAAUGCUUACCCGGGGAUUGGACAUCUUCGAGAUAAAAACGUCGGUAUUGUGAUUCGGGAGGGUUGAGACCUUGAUAUGGCGCAGUCAAAGUUCAAGAAAAAAUAAAUUAAUACAUAUGCUCCGAUCCACACCCAACUCAUAAAUCUUGCCCAAUCCUUAUCUGCUAGCAUGAAUCUCACUCACCACCGACGGAAAAUCUUUUCUGGGAAAUUAAAUUCCUACCGACAGUGUGGAACCAGUCCCUAUUUGUUUGUGUUGCAUAUCCUACGUUCUUAGAAAAACAUCAAAAGUUUACUGUUGGCUUUAAAAAUUAAUCUAAGAUUAACCGCGGCGAUAGAAUUUUUACGAAGAAAUUUAAAAAAAUGAUUCCUUUUAUUUAUUUAUUUUAAGUUUGGGUUAUCACAGCGGAUCAAGUCUUAGAGCAGUUAAAUACACAAUAACUAAAAUGUCAAUAUUUAACAACCCCGAUCCAAUUAGAAAAAAAAUACACUUUUCUUUACAAGUUUAAUUUUGUCCUUAAACCUUUAACUUCGUCUUGAUAUUGUGGGUUCUAUCGACAAAUACAAUACUACUUUAAGAAUUGUAAAUAAUUAACAAAGUAUAAUCUAUAUAACUCAUGUUUUAGCCACUUAUGAAUUUGGACAUUAUUCAUUGGAGAGUUUCAAAUUAAUGGUAAGUGGUGGCUAUUUUUUGUAUUAAACAUUUAGACAUCUCACUUCGCCAGUGUAAUAGAAUUAUUGUAAUAUUUAAAAUAAGAAAUUAAUUAGAAAUGAUAUACAAAAAGUAUUGAAGUGAUUAAACAAAGAACAAUUUAAGAAAUCAAAAUAAGAAAAAUACAAAAUCUAAAAAAAAAA